rnacentral:rRNA from 1 species
UGCCCUACGGGAGGCAGCAGUGGGGAAUAUUGCACAAUGGGGGAAACCCUGAUGCAGCAACGCCGCGUGAGUGAAGGAGUAUUUCGGUAUGUAAAGCUCUAUCAGUAGGGAAGAAGAAAGACGGUACCUGACUAAGAAGCCCCGGCUAACUACGUGCCAGCAGCCGCGGUAAUACGUAGGGGGCAAGCGUUAUCCGGAUUUACUGGGUGUAAAGGGAGCGUAGACGGCUGUGCAAGUCUGAAGUGAAAGCCCGUGGCUCAACCGCGGUACUGCUUUGGAAACUCUAUGUC